rnacentral:rRNA from 1 species
GAUGAACGCUGGCGGCGUGCUUAACACAUGCAAGUCGAACGGAAAGGCCCCUGCUUGCGGGGGUACUCGAGUGGCGAACGGGGGAGUAACACGUGGGUGAGCUGCACUGCACUUCGGGAUAAGCCUGGGAAACUGGGUCUAAUACCGGAUAGGACCACAUUCUGGAUGGUGUGGUGGAAAGUUUUUCGGUGUGGGAUGAGCUCGCGGCCUAUCAGCUUGUUGGUGGGGUGAUGGCCUACCAAGGCGUCGAGGGGUAGCCGGCCUGAGAGGGGGUACGGCCCCAUUGCGACUGAGCUGCGGCCCAGCCUCCUCCGCGAGGCGACGGUGCAGUAUAUUACAUAAUGCGCUCAACCCUGAUGCAGCGACGCCGCGUCGCGGAUGACGGCCUUCGGUUUGUAAUCUCCUUCCGUUAGAGACGAAGCGCAAGUGACGGUACCUGGAGAAGAAGCUCCGGCUAACUCCGUG